rnacentral:rRNA from 1 species
CCUACGGGUGGCAGCAGUGGGGAAUAUUGGGCAAUGGGCGAAAGCCUGAUCCAGCAACGCCGCGUGAAGGAAGAAGGAUUUCGGGUUGUAAAGUUCUUUUAUCAGGGACGAAGCAAGUGAAGGUACCUGAAGAAAAAGCAUCGGCUCACUCCGUGCCAGCCGCCGCGGUAAUACGGGGGAUGCGAGCGUUAUCGGGUUGUAUGGGGUUAAAAGGGUGCGAAGGGGGCCUGUUAAGUCAGCGGUAAACGCCCGGGGCCCCACCCGGGCGAGCCGUGGAAACUGGCUGGCGGGAGUUGGAGAGAGGUACGCGGAAUGCGCGGUGUAGCGGUGAAAUGCUUAGAUAUCGCGCAGAACCCCGAUGGCGAAGGCAGCGUACCGGCUCCACACUGACGCUGAGGCACGAAAGCGUGGGGAUCGAACAGGAUUAGAUACCCGGGUAGUC